rnacentral:rRNA from 1 species
GACGAACGCUGGCGGCGUGCUUAACACAUGCAAGUCGAACGGAAAGGCCCUGCUUUUGUGGGGUGCUCGAGUGGCGAACGGGUGAGUAACACGUGAGUAACCUGCCCUUGACUUUGGGAUAACUUCAGGAAACUGGGGCUAAUACCGGAUAGGAGCUCCUGCUGCAUGGUGGGGGUUGGAAAGUUUCGGCGGUUGGGGAUGGACUCGCGGCUUAUCAGCUUGUUGGUGGGGUAGUGGCUUACCAAGGCUUUGACGGGUAGCCGGCCUGAGAGGGUGACCGGCCACAUUGGGACUGAGAUACGGCCCAGACUCCUACGGGAGGCAGCAGUGGGGAAUAUUGUACAAUGGGCGGAAGCCUGAUGAAGCAACGCCGCGUGCGGGAUGACGGCCUUCGGGUUGUAAACCGCUUUCGCCUGUGACGAAGCGUGAGUGACGGUAAUGGGUAAAGAAGCACCGGCUAACUACGUG